UACGUAGGGGGCAAACGUUGUCCGGAUUUACUGGGCGUAAAGAGCGUGUAGGCGGCCAAGCAGGUCCGUUGUGAAAACUGGAGGCUUAACCUCCAGACGUCGACGGAAACCGCGUGGCUAGAGUCCGGAAGAGGAGAGUGGAAUUCCUGGUGUAGCGGUGAAAUGCGCAGAUAUCAGGAAGAACACCAAUGGCGAAGGCAGCUCUCUGGGACGGUACUGACGCUGAGACGCGAAAGCGUGGGGAGCGAACGGG
rnacentral:rRNA from 1 species